GCCGAAGUAGCUCAGAUGGUAGAGCACCUCGCUGUUACGGUGACACAGUGUUUCGCUGGUCGCCGCAGAUACGAGGUUGUCCCAGGUUCGAGUCCUGGCUUCGGCG
rnacentral:tRNA from 1 species